AAUAUUCUUAGCAGAAAUUCUGUUGCACGUGAGGCCAUUUUGAUGCAAAGAGAGGAUGGUUGCACGUGUUUCUUUGGAGGUAACCAUUGCUAACACAAGAAAACAAUGAUUUCAAGCACUUCUUUCCUCCUUUUAUAGCAAUCAGUCUUACAAUCCAAUCACAAUUAUAUUGAUUUCACCUGACUUGUACUUGUUCACACUUUCCCCUGUGCUGAUAAUAUGAUUACUGAAAUUAUGUUAGCAGGUCAUUUUGUGCCAGGGCCAAAAUACAGUGAAAAUUGGGUUUUUGUGAUAACGUAAUUUUUUUAUGCCGAUGAAGCUCUUUGCAAUUAAUUAAAAUGCACCUGAUCACUCUGCACAAUAUCGUAGAAACUAUGAAUCGCCACCACGAAAACUGAAGCAGCAACGUUUGCAAAACAAAGAAUCUGGGUCACUGCCAAAACUUUUGGCCAUGACUGUACAUUUUCCUGACCCCUCCCAGACUUCAUAUGAAUUCCACUGCACAAGUGAGACAAAACUGACCAAUUCUAACUAUUAGCAACUUCCUCCAUGUAGGCAGCUCUACCUUUUCUUCUGAUGGUCAAGUGAUCAAUGACCACAAGUAUUCUGUUGUACUGGAAUAAUUGUCCGAAUCUGCAUUUAUUUGUCUGUUGCACACCAGUUGCAACUGUGCAAUGAUUGUGUCGUCGUAAAGUCUUUCCUGCUAGGACUGUGAUUGGUGGAAGGCCUAGUGCCGUAAACUGCCGAAAGGCGUCGCAGUAUAAAAUCUGGACGUAAACCUUUGCCUGGUCUCAGUGGCAUUUACAAGAGUGGCGAGGUUGUCAAAGGAACUGAAAAAGGAAAGUGUGUUUCCCAAACUGCUGUAAGGUCGGAAAUGGACUCUCAUGGCCCCUACCACGCUGUACUCAUGCUGUCCAGAGUGCAGUUUCCUGAACCUCCUGACAAGUGUCCCUUGGGCCUCUUAAGAUGCGAACAAGUUCCAACGUGUGUGGUCAAGUGAUUAGACAUGACCUCAAAAAAAUGGCUGCAUUACCAAUAAGAAGCAUGUCUGCGAACAGAACUAAGCUGCCUGCAUUCACAAUGGUCUGUGGACAUGACCAUCUGGUGGACCAAAUCAAGAAGUUGGCACCUAGUUACCAAUGUGAGUACAUUUGUGUGAUGACAUUUCUUGCGUUGCCAGUGGGAUAUAUGAUGAUUUUUUAA
rnacentral:lncRNA from 1 species